rnacentral:misc_RNA from 1 species
GAUGAAGAACGUAGCGAAAUGCGAUAAGUAAUGUGAAUUGCAGAAUUCAGUGAAUCAUCGAAUCUUUGAACGCACAUUGCGCCCGGCAGUACUCUGCCGGGCAUGCCUGUUCGAGCGUCAUUUCAACCCUCAAGCCCUGCUUGGUGUUGGGGUCCCACGGCCGCCGUGGGCCCUGAAAGGAAGUGGCGGGCUCGCUACAACUCCGAGCGUAGUAAUUCAUUAUCUCGCUUAGGCGUUGGGCGGCGCUCCUGCCGUUAAAGAACCAUCUUUAACUCAAGGUUGACCUCGGAUCAGGUAGGAAUACCCGCUGAACUUAAGCAUAUCAAUAAGCGGAGGA